rnacentral:rRNA from 1 species
UACAGAGGGGGCAAGCGUUGUUCGGAAUUACUGGGCGUAAAGGGCGCGUAGGCGGCCUGCUAAGUCGAACGUGAAAUCCCCGGGCUCAACCCGGGAACUGCGUCCGAUACUGGCAGGCUUGAAUCCGGGAGAGGGAUGUGGAAUUCCAGGUGUAGCGGUGAAAUGCGUAGAUAUCGGGAGGAACAUCAGUGGCGAAGGCGGCCCUCUGGUCCAGUACUGACACUCAAGUGCGAAAGCGUGGGGAGCAAACAGG